rnacentral:rRNA from 1 species
GUCCUUUUGAUUUUUAUAUAAGGUCUGACCUGCCCUAUGAAUAUUUAAAUGGCCGCGGUAUACUAACCGUGCAAAGGUAGCAUAGUCAUUUGUCUCUUAAUUGGAGGCUUGAAUGAAGGGUUGGACGAGAUAUAAGCUUUCUUUGUUAUAUUUUAUUGAAUUUGACUUUUGAGUUAAAAGGCUUAAAUUUUUUUAUAGGACGAGAAGACCCUAUAGAAUUUUAUAUAUUUGUAUAAUCGAUUUAUUUAUUUAUUAUUUAAUUUUUUGUUUAAAUAUAUUUUGUUGGGGCGAUGGGAAGAUUUUAAUAACUCUUUUUUGUUCUAAUCAUUGAUUUAUGUUUUAUUCUGAUCCUUUUUUAGAGAUUAUAAGAUUAAAUUACCUUAGGGAUAACAGCGUAAUUCUUUUGGAGAGUUCUUAUCGAUAAAAGAGUUUGCGA